rnacentral:rRNA from 1 species
AGAGUUUGAUCCUGGCUCAGAGCGAACGCUGGCGGCAGGCUUAACACAUGCAAGUCGAGCGGGUGUAGCAAUACAUCAGCGGCAGACGGGUGAGUAACGCGUGGGAACGUACCUUUUGGUUCGGAACAACACAGGGAAACUUGUGCUAAUACCGGAUAAGCCCUUACGGGGAAAGAUUUAUCGCCGAAAGAUCGGCCCGCGUCUGAUUAGCUAGUUGGUGAGGUAACGGCUCACCAAGGCGACGAUCAGUAGCUGGUCUGAGAGGAUGAUCAGCCACAUUGGGACUGAGACACGGCCCAAACUCCUACGGGAGGCAGCAGUGGGGAAUAUUGGACAAUGGGGGCAACCCUGAUCCAGCCAUGCCGCGUGAGUGAUGAAGGCCCUAGGGUUGUAAAGCUCUUUUGUGCGGGAAGAUAAUGACGGUACCGCAAGAAUAAGCCCCGGCUAACUUCGUGCCAGCAGCCGCGGUAAUACGAAGGGGGCUAGCGUUGCUCGGAAUCACUGGGCGUAAAGGGUGCGUAGGCGGGUUUUUAAGUCAGGGGUGAAAUCCUGGAGCUCAACUCCAGAACUGCCUUUGAUACUGAAGAUCUUGAGUCCGGGAGAGGUGAGUGGAACUGCGAGUGUAGAGGUGAAAUUCGUAGAUAUUCGCAAGAACACCAGUGGCGAAGGCGGCUCACUGGCCCGGUACUGACGCUGAGGCACGAAAGCGUGGGGAGCAAACAGGAUUAGAUACCCCCGUAGUCC